AAGUGGCGAACGGCUGAGUAACACGUGGGCAACCUGCCCUUUGCACUGGGAUAGCCUCGGGAAACCGAGGUUAAUACCGGAUACUCCAUAUUUGUCGCAUGGCGAAUAUGGGAAAGCUCCGGCGGCAAAGGAUGGGCCCGCGGCCUGUUAGCUAGUUGGUGGGGUAGUGGCCUACCAAGGCAAUGAUGGGUAGCCGGGUUGAGAGACCGACCGGCCAGAUUGGGACUGAGACACGGCCCAGACUCCUACGGGAGGCAGCAG
rnacentral:rRNA from 1 species